UAGCUCAGUGGUUAAGAGCACUGGCUGUUCUUCCAAGAGACCUGGGUUCAAUUCCCAG
rnacentral:tRNA from 1 species